rnacentral:rRNA from 1 species
UGCAGUCGAGCGGAUGACGGGAGCUUGCUCCUUGAUUCAGCGGCGGACGGGUGAGUAAUGCCUAGGAAUCUGCCUGGUAGUGGGGGACAACGUUUCGAAAGGAACGCUAAUACCGCAUACGUCCUACGGGAGAAAGCAGGGGACCUUCGGGCCUUGCGCUAUCAGAUGAGCCUAGGUCGGAUUAGCUAGUUGGUGGGGUAAUGGCUCACCAAGGCGACGAUCCGUAACUGGUCUGAGAGGAUGAUCAGUCACACUGGAACUGAGACACGGUCCAGACUCCUACGGGAGGCAGCAGUGGGGAAUAUUGGACAAUGGGCGAAAGCCUGAUCCAGCCAUGCCGCGUGUGUGAAGAAGGUCUUCGGAUUGUAAAGCACUUUAAGUUGGGAGGAAGGGCAGUAAGUUAAUACCUUGCUGUUUUGACGUUACCGACAGAAUAAGCACCGGCUAACUCUGUGCCAGCAGCCGCGGUAAUACAGAGGGUGCAAGCGUUAAUCGGAAUUACUGGGCGUAAAGCGCGCGUA